CCGGCUGCUGACCCGCCCCCUAUGUCUAUGGGGCACCUGCAGUUCCCGGCUCCUGGUCGCCAUGGGGGCAGUGGGGGCUGUGCCACCCCCCCUGUGGGGCCGAGCCCAAGAGGAGCCGCGUCCGCCGCUGCCGCCCCAUAGAGCCGCAGUACCCGCUGAUGACGACCAAGGUGGGUUCCGCCACCCCUGUGAACGUCACUUUCUGGGGGGAGGCGCUGCCCCGUUGCGCCCCACUUUUGGGGCAGACGAGAGAGCUGGAGGAGAGCCGGCCCUGCCUGCAUCCGUGGGGCUGCCCCACAGAUGGGGAGGACUGACGGCCGCCGGACCCCCAGAUCUGCGCCUUUUCCCCCCAAUUUCCUCCCCUCAAUAAAACCCCAGCAAUGCA